GACGAACGCUGGCGGCGUGCUUAACACAUGCAAGUCGAACGGAAAGGCCUCAGCUUGCUGGGGUACUCGAGUGGCGAACGGGUGAGUAACACGUGGGUGAUCUGCCUUGCACUCUGGGAUAAGCUUGGGAAACUGGGUCUAAUACCGGAUAUGAACUGCCUUUAGUGUGGUGGUUGGAAAGUUUUUUCGGUGCAAGAUGAGCUCGCGGCCUAUCAGCUUGUUGGUGGGGUAAUGGCCUACCAAGGCGUCGACGGGUAGCCGGGCUGAGAGGGUGUACGGCCACAUUGGGACUGAGAUACGGCCCAGACUCCUACGGGAGGCAGCAGUGGGGAAUAUUGCACAAUGGGCGGAAGCCUGAUGCAGCGACGCCGCGUGGGGGAUGACGGCCUUCAGGUUGUAAACUCCUUUCGACAGGGACGAAGCUUUUUGUGACGGUACCUGUAUAAGAAGCACCGGCUAACUACGUG
rnacentral:rRNA from 1 species